rnacentral:snRNA from 2 species
GUCCCCUUAGGGACAUCCAAUGAGAUUGGAAUCAUACAGAGAAGAUUAGCAUGGCCCUGCACAAGGAUGACAUGCACAAAUUGAGAAAUGGUAAAAAAAAAAAACUAUUU